UAAGGUUACAUUCUGAGGUGCUGGGUGGAC
rnacentral:piRNA from 1 species